CUGUUACAAUUUGCCGGUCAUUGGGGAGUAGCCGCUCUUCGUUUCGAAGGGGCUUACGUCAACAUACUUGACCGGCAGGUCAUGGCGUAAGCGGUUCUAAGCCUGGCAAGACCUUUGACCACAAUGCCUCCGAUUUGGCCGGGGAGGCGUUGUGGUCAAUCGUCUGUAAACCGGCCGGAGAACAUU
rnacentral:sRNA from 20 species